AUAGCCCCCGUAAGUCUCCCACCGCUCGACCUCUCAAUAGGAAAUCAAACCACAUUAAAGUCACCUCCUAUACACGUUGGUAGAUUCCACCAAGCCAUCAUUCCAGCAAGUUCAUCCCACAAGCCCCGUCUACUGUCAUCAGUAUUAGGCCCAUAAACACCUAUGAACAUCCACUGAAAUCCAUCCCCAAUGUUUCUGAACGACAUCGAUAUUGAGAACAAUCCUACACUCACCUCCUCCAUCUCAAGCACUCUGGUGUCCCACAUGACUAAUAUGCCUCCAGAAACCCCCGAUGAUCC
rnacentral:lncRNA from 1 species